AGAGUUUGCUUCUGGCUCAGGAUGAACGCUGGCGGCGUGCCUAACACAUGCAAGUCGAACGGUUAAACCGCCCUCGGGCGGACAUACAGUGGCGAACGGGUGAGUAACACGUGACCAACCUGCCCCGCGCUCCGGGACAACCGCUGGAAACGGCGGCUAAUACCGGAUACUCCGCGGCCCCCGCAUGGGGGCGGCGGGAAAGCCCCGACGGCGCGGGAUGGGGUCGCGGCCCAUUAGGUAGUAGGCGGGGUAGAGGCCCACCUAGCCGACGAUGGGUAGCCGGACCGAGAGGUCGAUCGGCCACAUUGGGACUGAGAUACGGCCCAGACUCCUACGGGAGGCAGCAGUGGGGAAUUUUGCGCAAUGGGGGAAACCCUGACGCAGCAACGCCGCGUGCGGGACGAAGGCCCUCGGGUCGUAAACCGCUUUCAGCAGGGAAGACUUUACGACGGUACCUGCAGAAGAAGCUCCGGCUAACUACGUGCCAGCAGCCGCGGUAAUACGUAGGGGGCGAGCGUUAUCCGGAUUCAUUGGGCGUAAAGCGCGCGUAGGCGGCCGCCUAAGCGGAACCUCUAACCCCGGGGCUCAACCCUCGGGCCGGGUUCCGGACUGGGCGGCUCGAGUGCGGUAGAAGAAAGCGGAAUUCCCGGUGUAGCGGUGGAAUGCGCAGAUAUCGGGAAGAACACCGAUGGCGAAGGCAGCUCUCUGGGCCGUCACUGACGCUGAGGCGCGAAAGCUGGGGGAGCGAACAGGAUUAGAUACCCUGGUAGUCCCAGCCGUAAACGAUGGAUACUAGGUGUGGGGGGAUCCCCCCUCCGUGCCGCAGCCAACGCAUUAAGUAUCCCGCCUGGGGAGUACGGCCGCAAGGCUAAAACUCAAAGGAAUUGACGGGGGCCCGCACAAGCAGCGGAGCAUGUGGCUUAAUUCGAAGCAACGCGAAGAACCUUACCAGGGCUUGACAUGCGCCUGAAGCCGCGGAGACGCGGUGGCCGAGAGGAGGGCGCGCAGGUGGUGCAUGGCUGUCGUCAGCUCGUGUCGUGAGAUGUUGGGUUAAGUCCCGCAACGAGCGCAACCCCCGUCCCGUGUUGCCAGCAUUGAGUUGGGGACUCGCGGGAGACUGCCGGCGUCAAGCCGGAGGAAGGUGGGGACGACGUCAAGUCAUCAUGCCCCUUAUGCCCUGGGCUGCACACGUGCUACAAUGGCCGGUACAGAGGGUUGCCACCCCGCGAGGGGGAGCGGAUCCCGGAAAGCCGGCCCCAGUUCGGAUCGCAGGCUGCAACCCGCCUGCGUGAAGCCGGAGUUGCUAGUAAUCGCGGAUCAGCACGCCGCGGUGAAUACGUUCCCGGGCCUUGCACACACCGCCCGUCA
rnacentral:rRNA from 1 species